AUUGAACGCUGGCGGCAUGCCUUACACAUGCAAGUCGAACGGCAGCACGGGGCAACCUGGUGGCGAGUGGCGAACGGGUGAGUAAUGCAUCGGAACGUACCUUUCAGUGGGGGAUAACGUAGCGAAAGUUACGCUAAUACCGCAUAUUCUGUGAGCAGGAAAGCAGGAGAUCGCAAGACCUUGCGCUGAUUGAGCGGCCGAUGUCAGAUUAGCUAGUUGGUGGGGUAAAGGCUAACCAAGGCGACGAUCUGUAGCGGGUCUGAGAGGAUGAGCCGCCACACUGGAACGGAGACACGGUCCAGACUCCUACGGGAGGCAGCAGUGGGGAAUUUUGGACAAUGGGGGCAACCCUGAUCCAGCCAUGCCGCGUGAGUGAAGAAGGCCUUCGGGUUGUAAAGCUCUUUCGGCCGGGAAGAAAUCGCACGGGCUAAUACCCUGUGUGGAUGACGGUACCGGAAUAAGAAGCACCGGCUAACUACGUGCCAGCCGCCGCGGUAACAC
rnacentral:rRNA from 1 species